rnacentral:rRNA from 1 species
UGAGGAAUAUUGGUCAAUGGGCGCAAGCCUGAACCAGCGACGCCGCGUGAGUGAUGAAGGCCCUCGGGUUGUAAAGCUCUGUGGGGAGGGACGAAAAAGCAAAGUCGAAUAGGUUUUGAAAUUGACGGUACCUCCUUAGCAAGCACCGGCUAACUCUGUGCCAGCAGCCGCGGUAAGACAGAGGGUGCAAACGUUGCUCGGAAUCACUGGGCGUAAAGCGCGUGUAGGCGGGUCAGUCAGUCGGGUGUGAAAUCCCCAGGCUCAACCUGGGAACUGCAUCCGAAACUGCUGUCCUUGAGUGGUGGAGAGGGAAGUGGAAUUCCUGGUGUAGAGGUGAAAUUCGUAGAUAUCAGGAGGAACACCGGUGGCGAAGGCGGCUUCCUGGACACCGACUGACGCUGAGACGCGAAAGCGUGGGGAGCAAACAGGAUUAGAUACCCCCGUAGUCC